ensembl:lncRNA
CUCAGGGAACUCAAUGGGUUCUCGGCAGUGAUUGGCUAAGCGGAGAAGAUGGGGGAAACCUCAGAGGACGCGUGGCCCUUUCCCAUGCACGCUCCGGCCAAUGAAAACAGUGGAAAAUGACACAUUCCCAUCAGCGUGGUUGAGGGAUGGAGUGAAACUAUGACCCCAGGAAAAGCAUUUCUCCCAUUCCUGACUCUCGUGUCUUGUACUGGGGUAGAGAGAUGCUGCUGUUUAAGUGACACAACGCCAGGCGUGGUGUGAGAGUGGAUCUGACAGCUCGGUGUGAGGCACGGUUCAGCUGUUUUGUGCUUCUUUGCAUAUCAACGGUUGAACAGAACAUUUGGAGAAGAUCAAGUGGCUGACUGAAGAGAAGGUCGAGCUGAGGGCACAGCUGGCUCUACAAUCAGGAGCCAUAAGGAAGAAUCCUUCCAACCGGGAUGCCACUGACGAGGCUGUCCAGAACCAGGUCCCAGAAAGGGACAGCUGACCGUGCAGGUGGGAGAAGCGUUGCGGCGGUACAAGGGACCUGCCGUGAAUAUGAAUGACAUCUCCAGCACCACCAAUAUUGCUGCUAAUCUACAGUAGUCUUUAUAAAAAAUAUUAUAACUGCUGCUAUGUACAGUGUUAUUUAUAUAUGAUCGCAUUAUCCUUAAUAUAUUUAUAGCUCUGUGUGAAUGUUCUUAAUUCUGACUGUAGUUGUAGUGUGUUAUGCCACCAUUCAUAAGCUUAUUGCACUGAUGUAUCUACGAUUCAAUACAUUUUGAUUGCUGCUACGUCACACUUAUGUAUAUUACUGCCAUUCUAGCCCUUGUUUAUUUUGUAUUAUAUUAUGUUUAUUUUGUACUUUUUCACAUUCAAAUACUGUAAUUUUACUAUAUUGGUUGCUGGAUACGUUUUCUUGCACUAUUUGAUUUUUCUAUUCAUUUGCACAUGUUUAUUUUGUAUCUUGCACUAUUUGAAAUACAUUUUUCAGAUUUUAUUCAGUUCAUUGUCAUUUGUGAUAUGUGAUAAAUUAUUGUAAAGGAUUACUAUGAAUACAACCUAAUAUUGGGGCGUGAGGCGUCCCGCUGGGUUUAGUGCUGAAAAGUAGCUAGCUGCCGUCGGGCCGCUGGUGAGCCCCUGAUCAGGGUAUUGUUGGAAGGCAAUGUAAUGAAAGCGGCCCAAUGGUGGCCCGACUGCGACCCACGCUAUAUAAAAAAAAAAAAACAUUUUCA